rnacentral:rRNA from 1 species
UACGAAGGGGGCUAGCGUUGCUCGGAAUUACUGGGCGUAAAGGGCGCGUAGGCGGAUAGUUUAGUCAGAGGUGAAAGCCCAGGGCUCAACCCUGGAAUUGCCUUUGAUACUGGCUAUCUUGAGUUCGGGAGAGGUGAGUGGAACUCCGAGUGUAGAGGUGAAAUUCGUAGAUAUUCGGAGGAACACCAGUGGCGAAGGCGACUCACUGGCCCGAUACUGACGCUGAGGCGCGAAAGCGUGGGGAGCAAACAGG